rnacentral:lncRNA from 1 species
UCACCGAACAGAAUUAGUCACGUGGCCCUGCCUAACCUCAAGGAGGUGCAUGCAGGAAGCAUAUGCAGAAAGGAGAGAAAAAUGGAUAGAGUCUGACAUUAUGAGACGCUGGUGACCUG